GAGCAGUGAUGAUAUCUAGAGAAAGUCAUGCACCACUCUGAUAUUAGUGAUGUGAAAUUUCUCAAACCCAUAAUUAUUUCUGAGCUC
rfam:Solanum lycopersicum cultivar Heinz 1706 chromosome 4, whole genome shotgun sequence.